GGUUAAAAAGCUCGUAGUUGGAUUUCUGUCGAGGGUGGUCGGUCCGCACUAUGUGCGUGUAUCUGAUUCGGCCUUGGCAUCCUCUUGGGGAACGUGUCUGUGCUUGAUUGCAUGGUGCGGUAUUCAAGACUUUUACUUUGAGGAAAUUGGAGUGUUUACGGCAAGCAUACGCUUUGAACAUAUUAGCAUGGAAUAAUAAUAUAGGGCCUGCGUUCUAUUUUGUUGGUUUCUAGAGCUUGGGCAAUGAUUAAUAGGGAUAAUUGGGGGCAUUCGUAUUAACGCGUCAGAGGUGGAAUUCUUGGAUUGCGUUACGACGAACUACUGCGAAAGCAUUUGCCAAGGAUGUUUUCAUUGAUCAAGAACGAAAGUAUGGGGAUCGAAGACGGUUAGAUACCGUCGUAGUCUAUACCAUAAACUAUGCCAACUAGAGAUGGGAGGUCGUUUAUUUUAUGACUCCUUCCGCACCUUAUGAGAAAUCAAAGUUUUUGGGUUCCGGGGGGAGUAUGGUCGCAAGGCUGAAACUUAAAGGAAUUGACGGAAGGGCACCACCAGGAGUGGAGCCUGCGGCUUAAUUUGACUCAACACGGGA
rnacentral:rRNA from 1 species